GACGAACGCUGGCGGCGUGCUUAACACAUGCAAGUCGAACGGAAAGGCCCUGCUUUUGUGGGGUGCUCGAGUGGCGAACGGGUGAGUAACACGUGAGUAACCUGCCCUUGACUUUGGGAUAACUUCAGGAAACUGGGGCUAAUACCGGAUAGGAGCUCCUGCUGCAUGGUGGGGGUUGGAAAGUUUCGGCGGUUGGGGAUGGACUCGCGGCUUAUCAGCUUGUUGGUGGGGUAGUGGCUUACCAAGGCUUUGACGGGUAGCCGGCCUGAGAGGGUGACCGGCCACAUUGGGACUGAGAUACGGCCCAGACUCCUACGGGAGGCAGCAGUGGGGAAUAUUGCACAAUGGGCGGAAGCCUGAUGCAGCAACGCCGCGUGCGGGAUGACGGCCUUCGGGUUGUAAACCGCUUUCGCCUGUGACGAGGCGUGAGUGACGGUAAUGGGUAAAGAAGCACCGGCUAACUACGUGCCAGCAGCCGCGGUGAUACGUAGGGUGCGAGCGUUGUCCGGAUUUAUUGGGCGUAAAGGGCUCGUAGGUGGUUGAUCGCGUCGGAAGUGUAAUCUUGGGGCUUAACCCUGAGCGUGCUUUCGAUACGGGUUGACUUGAGGAAGGUAGGGGAGAAUGGAAUUCCUGGUGGAGCGGUGGAAUGCGCAGAUAUCAGGAGGAACACCAGUGGCGAAGGCGGUUCUCUGGGCCUUUCCUGACGCUGAGGAGCGAAAGCGUGGGGAGCGAACAGGCUUAGAUACCCUGGUAGUCCACGCUGUAAACGGUGGGUACUAGGUGUGGGGUCCAUUCCACGGGUUCCGUGCCGUAGCUAACGCUUUAAGUACCCCGCCUGGGGAGUACGGCCGCAAGGCUAAAACUCAAAGGAAUUGACGGGGCCCCGCACAAGCGGCGGAGCAUGCGGAUUAAUUCGAUGCAACGCGUAGAACCUUACCUGGGUUUGACAUGGAUCGGGAGUGCUCAGAGAUGGGUGUGCCUCUUUUGGGGUCGGUUCACAGGUGGUGCAUGGCUGUCGUCAGCUCGUGUCGUGAGAUGUUGGGUUAAGUCCCGCAACGAGCGCAACCCUUGUUCACUGUUGCCAGCACGUUAUGGUGGGGACUCAGUGGAGACCGCCGGGGUCAACUCGGAGGAAGGUGGGGAUGACGUCAAGUCAUCAUGCCCCUUAUGUCCAGGGCUUCACGCAUGCUACAAUGGCUGGUACAGAGAGUGGCGAGCCUGUGAGGGUGAGCGAAUCUCGGAAAGCCGGUCUCGGUUCGGAUUGGGGUCUGCAACUCGACCUCAUGAAGUCGGAGUCGCUAGUAAUCGCAGAUCAGCAACGCUGCGGUGAAUACGUUCCCGGGGCU
rnacentral:rRNA from 1 species